UUGCUCGCUUUGGCAGCACAUAUACUAAAACUGGACCAGUACAGAGAAGAUUAGCAUGGCCCCUGCCCAAGGAUGACAUGUAAAUUAGUCACAUACACAGAUCAAUU